rnacentral:rRNA from 1 species
GAGCUCGUAGGCGGUUUGUCGCGUCUGCUGUGAAAUCCCGAGGCUCAACCUCGGGCCUGCAGUGGGUACGGGCAGACUAGAGUGCGGUAGGGGAGAUUGGAAUUCCUGGUGUAGCGGUGGAAUGCGCAGAUAUCAGGAGGAACACCGAUGGCGAAGGCAGAUCUCUGGGCCGUAACUGACGCUGAGGAGCGAAAGGGUGGGGAGCAAACAGGCUUAGAUACCCUGGUAGUCCACCCCGUAAACGUUGGGAACUAGUUGUGGGGUCCAUUCCACGGAUUCCGUGACGCAGCUAACGCAUUAAGUUCCCCGCCUGGGGAGUACGGCCGCAAGGCUAAAACUCAAAGGAAUUGACGGGGACCCGCACAAGCGGCGGAGCAUGCGGAUUAAUUCGAUGCAACGCGAAGAACCUUACCAAGGCUUGACAUAUACGAGAACGGGCCAGAAAUGGUCAACUCUUUGGACACUCGUAAACAGGUGGUGCAUGGUUGUCGUCAGCUCGUGUCGUGAGAUGUUGGGUUAAGUCCCGCAACGAGCGCAACCCUCGUUCUAUGUUGCCAGCACGUAAUGGUGGGAACUCAUGGGAUACUGCCNGGGGUCAACUCGGAGGAAGGUGGGGAUGACGUCAAAUCAUCAUGCCCCUUAUGUCUUGGGCUUCACGCAUGCUACAAUGGCCGGUACAAAGGGCUGCAAUACCGUGAGGUGGAGCGAAUCCCAAAAAGCCGGUCCCAGUUCGGAUUGAGGUCUGCAACUCGACCUCAUGAAGUCGGAGUCGCUAGUAAUCGCAGAUCAG